rnacentral:rRNA from 1 species
UACGUAGGGUGCAAGCGUUGCCCGGAUUUAUUGGGCGUAAAGGGCGCGUAGGCGGCUCGGCACGUCCGUUGUGAAAUCGCCCGGCUCAACUGGGCGGGGUCAGCGGAUACGGUCGAGCUUGAGCAAGCUAGGGGGCAAUGGAAUUCCCGGUGUAGUGGUGGAAUGCGUAGAUAUCGGGAGGAACACCAGUGGCGAAGGCGGCCAACUGGACGAAUACUGACGCUGAGACACGAAAGCGUGGGGAGCAAACAGG